GGGCCUUUAGCUUAGUUGGUAGAGCACCUGACUCUUAAUCAGGGGGUCCAGGGUUCGAGUCCCUGAAGGCCCA
rnacentral:tRNA from 1 species